UACGUAGGCAGCAAGCGUUGUUCGGAAUUACUGGGCGUAAAGAGUGUGUAGGCGGUGUUCCAAGUCUGUUGUGAAAUCUCCCGGCUUAACUGGGAGGGUGCGCCGAAAACUGGAAGGCUUGAGUAUGGGAGAGGUAAGCGGAAUUCCUGGUGUAGCGGUGAAAUGCGUAGAUAUCAGGAGGAACACCUGCGGUGUAGACGGCUUACUGGACCAUAACUGACGCUGAGGCACGAAAGCGUGGGUAGCAAACAGG
rnacentral:rRNA from 1 species